AACUGAUACUACCUGCGGGAACCUGCGGAAGGAUCAUUACUGAAGUGAUUUGGGGAUGUUGCUGGCCCUCUCUCAAGGGGGGGCACUGUGCACUCCUCGAAGCAAUUCACAAUUUCCAUCACACCCCUUGUGCACACCUUGUAGGCACCCAAACCCACCUCCGGGUGGUGGGGUCCUAUGUAUUCCUUCAUCUCACACUCUGUUGAAUGGUGCCAUGGGACGCAUCUAAAGGAUUAUUUG
rnacentral:misc_RNA from 1 species